rnacentral:rRNA from 1 species
UGGGGAAUCUUGCGCAAUGGCCGAAAGGCUGACGCAGCGACGCCGCGUGGAGGAUGACGCCCUUCGGGGUGUAAACUCCUGUUGCCCGGGACGAAUACCCGUUUCGACGGGGGUGACGGUAUCGGGUGAGGAAGCACCGGCUAACUCUGUGCCAGCGGCCGCGGUAAUACAGAGGGUGCGAGCGUUGUCCGGAAUCACUGGGCGUAAAGGGCGCGUAGGCGGCUGGGUAAGCGUGUGGUGAAAGCCCGGGGCUCAACCCCGGGUCGGCCAUGCGAACUGUCCAGCUGGAGCACGGUAGAGGCACAUGGAAUUCCGGGUGUAGCGGUGGAAUGCGUAGAGAUCCGGAAGAACACCGAUGGCGAAGGCGGUGUGCUGGGCCGUGGCUGACGCUGAGGCGCGACAGCGUGGGGAGCAAACA